AAUAGGCACAGCCCAACUUGAGAACCAAGUCAAAAUAAUAUAAAUGCCGGCAAAACCAAAAUUCUCAACCAACAACCCCAUAACAGAGCAGACCGCACAAAACUCGGAUCCAAAAUGACCAAACAGCCCCAGUGGAAAAGCCACAUAAGAAAACCUGCUAUAAGGAAGGUACUUCAUUAAAUCCAGCUGGAUAAAUCUUAAUUCUCAAAACUCCCUUUCUCUGCCACUUCCAGAAGCCACACCACCUUCCAAUCGCAACAUCCUCUGUAGUGACCAUCACCUCCCGUCCCUCCAAUGCCAGAAGUGUCAAGCAUCAGCCUCAUGCUCACACAGCCUAUGAAAGUGAGGUUUCUACAUCAAGGACCCCGGAAUCAACCCUCGCUUCCUGGCCUUUCCUUUGGUCCUGAGCACCCUCCUAUUUCUCUAAACUGCAAAGGGGAGGAGGGAGCAACCGAACCUUCUCUACAGCCGUUCGAGUGACUGCUAUGUUUCCAUGGCUCACUUUCCACUGUUCUUGGUGACCCCUGCAGAUUUCCCUUAUGAGUUAGUGUCCCGGAAUGUCUCUUUAUUAGGUGUCUGGAGAAGCAGAGCUGUCCUGAUGCCAGCGCCCCCACACUGAGGACUUUAUUAGUUUUUUAAUUUCUGUCUGGGUGCCCCUGCUGCAUCAAACUUUCCACAGCUGUUAGGAGCUAUUAAGUAAGUAGCCUCAUUGGGCCCUUUCCCCGCCCCCACCUCCUUCUUAAUAACAUGAGAAAUUUCUGGACAUGCUACAUGGAGCCUUUAAAAUGCAGAUACUUUGUCUCACUGGUGAGAAAUUGUUGGGGGUCCAGAUGGGGAGAGGAUGUUCUGUCAUAAGAAAGAUCUCCUGGUCUUUUUGGUGUCUUAGUUUGGAGCUGGGCUGUUCAGGCAACCAUGGGGACCCAAAGCUGGUGGGGGACAGCAAAAGUGAGACCCACUCUCUCAACAGUGCACAGCAAGCUGAAGACCAG
rnacentral:lncRNA from 1 species